UUCGCAACGGGUUUGCUGCCAGAACACAGGUGUCAUGAAAACUACCCCUAAAAGCCAAAAUGGGAAAGGAAAAGACUCAUAUCAACAUUGUGGUCAUUGGACAUGUAGAUUCGGGCAAGUCCACCACUACUGGCCAUCUGAUCUAUAAAUGUGGUGGCAUUGACAAAUGAACCAUUGAAAAAUUUGAGAAGGAGGCUGCUGAGAUGGGAAAGGGCUCCUUCAAGUAUGCCUGGGUCUUGGAUAAACUGAAAGCUGAGCGUGAACGUGAUAUCACCAUUGAUAUCUCCUUGUGGAAAUUUGAGACCAGCAUGUACUAUGUGACUAUCAUUGAUGCCCCAGGACACAGAGACUUCAUCAAAAACAUGAUUACAGGGAUAUCUCAGGCUGACUGUGCUGUCCUGAUUGUUGCUGAUGGUGUUGGUGAAUUUGAAGCUGGUAUCUCCAAGAAUGGGCAGACCCGAGAUCAUGCCCUUCUGGCUUACACACUGGGUGUGAAACAACUAAUUGUUGGUGUUAACAAAAUGGAUUCCACUGAGCCACCCUAGAGCCAGAAGAGAUAUGAGGAAGUUGUUAAGGAAGUCAGCACUUACAUUAAGAAAAUUGGCUACAACCCCGACACAGUAGCAUUUGUGCCAAUUUCUGAUUGGAAUGGUGACAACAUGCUGGAGCCAAGUGCUAACAUGCCUUGGUUCAAGGGAUGGAAAUUCACCUGUAAGGAUGGCAAUGCCAGUGGAACCAUGCUGCUUGAGGCUCUGGAUG